AUGUGGGGUAGAAGAAGAAAACUUCGAAGGCUUAAUGAUGUCACCAUUUCUACCUGCCACGUAUCGGCGAAGGUUGGGACUCGACUGGUGUUUGAUCACGAUGGGAAAAUCAUCCAGAAAACCCCCUACCCCCACCCCAGAGGGACCACAGUCAGCGUGAAGCAGUUAUUUUCUACGCUACCUGUGCGCCAUAAGGAAUUUCAAAGGAAUAUUAAGAAGAAACGUGCCUGCUUCCCCUUCGCCUUCUGCCGUGAUUGUCAGUUUCUUGAGGGCUCCCCAGCCAUGCUUCCUGUACAGCCUGCAAAACUGACUCCUAGAAGUACCCCACCCCACCCCUGCUCCUUGGAGGACAACGUGAUCACUGUAUUCAGCUCUGUCAAGAAUGGUCCAGGUUCUUCUAGAUGAUCUGCACAAAUGGUUCCUCUCCUCCUUCCUGAUGUCUGCCAUUAGCAUUGGAAUAAAGUUCCUGCUGAAAAUCCACAUCUCCCCUGGGUCCGGUGUUCUGGAAGUGAGAGAGACAAUGUCACACUUCAAGGAGGCAGCUCUCUAGACAGGAAGGUUAUUCACGUCCCAUGUCAAGUCUAGCUAGAGUUCAGAGCAAUUGAGAAGUGCAAUUUUAUCUCCUGCCUUUCAUUCUAUACCCUGCUUCUGAACCAUCGUGUUCAACUGUGAAACUCACACUUUGGUGACCCUGACUCCAAAACUUAAUACACCCAAGGUCAGCCCCAGUGAUCUGCUUCAUAGCCAGGACUUUGGGUGGGUCUUCCCAGGGAGUAGGGCACCCUCAGAGAAUGUGGCUUUGGACUUCAUCACAGCUGGGGCCUUUUGUGUCACUUCAGAUCUAAACUUGUAACCGUGCUAGAUCUGUUUCUAACGUGACAACAUCACGAACCACGAGUCCAGAAGCCUAAUCCAUAAUCCUCCCUCCUCAUGACGAAGUCUCAUGCUCUGUGCUC
rnacentral:lncRNA from 1 species